rnacentral:rRNA from 1 species
UGGGGAAUAUUGGACAAUGGGCGAAAGCCUGAUCCAGCCAUGCCGCGUGUGUGAAGAAGGUCUUCGGAUUGUAAAGCACUUUAAGUUGGGAGGAAGGGCAGUAAGCGAAUACCUUGCUGUUUUGACGUUACCGACAGAAUAAGCACCGGCUAACUCUGUGCCAGCAGCCGCGGUAAUACAGAGGGUGCAAGCGUUAAUCGGAAUUACUGGGCGUAAAGCGCGCGUAGGUGGUUCGUUAAGUUGAAUGUGAAAGCCCCGGGCUCAACCUGGGAACUGCAUCCAAAGCUGGCGGGCUAGAGUAGGGCAGAGGGUGGUGGAAUGUCCUGUGUAGCGGUGAAAUGCGUAGAUAUAGGAAGGAACACCAGUGGCGAAGGCGAACACCUGGGCUCAUACAGACACUGAGGUGCGAAAGCGUGGGGAGCAAACAGG